GCUUGCAUUAAUUUGAUGUGCAUCCAUCUUAAUUCAAGUUGAUCCAUUUCAGUCUUGGCAGCACACUGAUAGCAAAUGGGAACGAAACGACAUUCGACAAACUCCGCCGCACCAGCAAAAGCAGGGACCAGACAGGAAACCUGGGGUCAUCUCCUGGAAUCAGCUCCUGGGCUGCAGCUCUGUCCUUAGAUUUGUUUCAAAUUCUGACCCAUAAAGAGGAAUGGGUUGUGGAUAAAAUAUUCUGCUUUCAAGCACAGAAUUCAGCUCCUCCAUGAAAGAGAAUAAACCAGUGACACAAACAUCAAGGUGCCACGCUCCUGCAAUUUGUUACUUCAAUCUGCAAUGUUCAGACUCAGCUGUGACUGCGAACUCAUCAUGGUUAAAAGCUGCCACCCUGUCCUUGCAUGGUGCCACGGGGCUUGAUUGGAAGUGGGUUUUGCUCCAUGAACAGGGCUCAGCAGCCAGAGGAGGUUCAUACCUUCCUACCUAACCCCGAAGUGGUUUUUCUCCUAUUCCAUCGCCAUCUCGUGGUUUCCUGCAAAAACUGCUGUCGCUGCAGAACGCCUCGCACCAGCAGCUCCUGGUUGC